rfam:Dethiobacter alkaliphilus AHT 1 ctg3, whole genome shotgun sequence.
GGUUAAGUUAUGAAGGGCAUAUGGUGAAUGCCUUGGUGCCAGAGGGCGACGAAGGACGUAGCGAGCUACGAUAAGCCACGGGGAGCCGCAAGCAGGCUUUGAUCCGUGGAUUUCCGAAUGGGGCAACCCACUGCGAGUCAUGUCGCAGUACCCAUACCUGAAUAAAAUAGGGUAUGAGGAGUCAUACCCGGGGAACUGAAACAUCUUAGUACCCGGAGGAAAGGAAAGCAACCGCGAUUUCCCAAGUAGCGGCGAGCGAACGGGAAACAGCCUAAACCUUAUCUGUGUAAUAGCCUGCCGGCGUUGCAGAUAGGGGGUCGCGGGGCACAUCACGGACUUCGGCAGGAGUCCGCAGCGGAAGUCUUUUUUCUAGUCGAACGGUCUGGAAAGUCCGGUCAUAGAAGGUAACAACCCUGUAGACGAAAGGAAAAAGUCAGCUGUGAUGUGUACCCAAGUAGCACGGGACACGUGAGACCCCGUGUGAAUCAGGGAGGCCCACCUCCUAAGGCUAAAUACCAACUGGCAACCGAUAGUGAACCAGUACCGUGAGGGAAAGGUGAAAAGCACCCCGGGAGGGGAGUGAAAUAGAACCUGAAACCGUAUGCUUACAAGCAGUGGCAGCACUAUGUCUUCGGACAUGUGUGGCCGCGUACUUUUUGUAGAACGGGCCAACGAGUUACGUUCUGUAGCAAGGUUAAGUGGUUCUGCCACGAAGCCGCAGCGAAAGCGAGUCUGAAUAGGGCGAAUGAGUUGCAGGGCGUAGACCCGAAACCGAGUGAUCUACCCAUGGCCAGUGUGAAGCUUGUUUAAACGCAAGUGGAGGCGCGAACCCACCAAUGUUGAAAAAUUGGGGGAUGAGCUGUGGGUAGCGGUGAAAUGCUAAUCGAACUCGGAUAUAGCUGGUUCUCCCCGAAAUAGCUUUAGGGCUAGCGUCGGAUGAUGAGUCAUGGAGGUAGAGCACUGUUUGGGCUAGGGGCCUUACCAGGUUACCGAACUCAGAUAAACUCCGAAUGCCAUCGACUUUAAUCCGGCAGUCAGACUGCGGGAGAUAAGUUUCGUAGUCGAGAGGGAAACAGCCCAGACCGUCAGCUAAGGUCCCCAAGUACAGACUAAGUGGAAAAGGAUGUGGAAUUGCUUAGACAACCAGGAUGUUGGCUUAGAAGCAGCCACCAUUUAAAGAGUGCGUAAUAGCUCACUGGUCAAGUGAUUCUGCGCCGAAAAUGUAACGGGGCUAAGUCUGUCACCGAAGCUACGGCUUGUCGUAAGACAGGGGUAGGGGAGCGUUCUAAGCAGCGUCGAAGCUGUACCGUAAGGAGCAGUGGAGCGCUUAGAAGAGCGAAUGUUGGCAUGAGUAGCGAGAAGGCAAGUGAGAAUCUUGCCCGCCGAAAACCUAAGGUUUCCUGAGGAAGGCUCGUCCUCUCAGGGUUAGUCGGGACCUAAGCCGAGGCAGAAAUGCGUAGGCGAUGGACAACAGGUUGAUAUUCCUGUACCACCUAACGUCCGCUAUUAGCGAUGGGGUGACGCAGAAGGGUAGGCACAGCGCACCGUUGGUUGUGUGCGUUCAAGCGUUUAGGGAGUGCGGAUAGGCAAAUCCGUCUGCACAUUAUCCUGAGGCGUGAUGAGGAGCGAAAUUUUAGUAGCGAACUGGCUGAUCCCAUGCUGCCAAGAAAAGCCUCUAGUGAGGAUGUCAGGUGCCCGUACCGUAAACCGACACAGGUAGGUGAGGAGAGAAUCCUAAGGCGCGCGGAAGAACCUUCGUUAAGGAACUCGGCAAAUUGACCCCGUAACUUCGGGAGAAGGGGUGCCCCGUUAUCGUGAUACAACUAUGUUGAGCGAGAGGGGGCCGCAGAGAAUAGGCCCAAGCGACUGUUUAGCAAAAACACAGGUCUCUGCGAAGUCGUAAGACGACGUAUAGGGGCUGACGCCUGCCCGGUGCUGGAAGGUUAAGAGGAGAGGUUAGCGCAAGCGAAGCUUUGAAUCUAAGCCCCAGUAAACGGCGGCCGUAACUAUAACGGUCCUAAGGUAGCGAAAUUCCUUGUCGGGUAAGUUCCGACCCGCACGAAAGGCGUAACGACUUGGGCGCUGUCUCAACGAAGGAUCCGGUGAAAUUGUAGUACCUGUGAAGAUGCAGGUUACCCAUGACAAGACGGAAAGACCCCGUGGAGCUUUACUGUAGCCUGAUAUUGGAUUUUGAUAUGGAAUGUACAGGAUAGGUGGGAGACUUGGAAGCCUGGGCGCCAGCCUGGGUGGAGUCACCCGUGGGAUACCACCCUUUUCAUAGCGGAAUUCUAACCGCGAGCCGUUAUCCGGUUCCGGGACAGUGUCAGGUGGGCAGUUUGACUGGGGCGGUCGCCUCCCAAAGAGUAACGGAGGCGCUCAAAGGUUUCCUCAGCGCGGUCGGGAAUCGCGCGUAGAGUGUAAAGGCAGAAGGAAGCUUCACUGCGACACCGACGGGUGGAGCAGGGACGAAAGUCGGACUUAGUGAUCCGGCGGUGCUGCGUGGCAGGGCCGUCGCUCAACGGAUAAAAGCUACCCCGGGGAUAACAGGCUUAUCUCCCCCAAGAGUCCACAUCGACGGGGAGGUUUGGCACCUCGAUGUCGGCUCAUCGCAUCCUGGGGCUGUAUUAGGUCCCAAGGGUUUGGCUGUUCGCCAAUUAAAGCGGUACGUGAGCUGGGUUCAGAACGUCGUGAGACAGUUCGGUCCCUAUCUGUCAUGGGCGUAGGAAAAUUGAAGAGAGCUGUCCCUAGUACGAGAGGACCGGGAUGGACAGACCUCUGGUGUACCAGUUGUCCUGCCAAGGGCACUGCUGGGUAGCUAUGUCUGGACGGGAUAAGCGCUGAAAGCAUCUAAGCGCGAAGCCCCCUCUAAGAUAAGUUUUCCCGCUCGGUUAACGAGGUAAGACCCCAGAGAGAUGAUCUGGUUGAUAGGCCGGAGGUGUAAGGGCAGCAAUGUCUUAAGCUGACCGGUACUAAUAGGUCGAGGACUUAACCUU